rnacentral:rRNA from 1 species
UACGUAGGGUGCAAGCGUUGUCCGGAAUUACUGGGCGUAAAGCGUGCGCAGGCGGUUUUGUAAGUCAGAUGUGAAAUCCCCGGGCUUAACCCGGGAACUGCGUUUGAAACUACAAGGCUAGAGUGUGGCAGAGGGAGGUGGAAUUCCACGUGUAGCAGUGAAAUGCGUAGAGAUGUGGAGGAACACCGAUGGCGAAGGCAGCCCCCUGGGUUAACACUGACGCUCAGGCACGAAAGCGUGGGGAGCAAACAGG